rnacentral:rRNA from 1 species
UACGGAGGGUGCAAGCGUUAUCCGGAUUCACUGGGUUUAAAGGGUGCGUAGGUGGUUUUGUAAGUCAGUGGUGAAAGCCCGGAGCUCAACUCCGGAACUGCCAUUGAUACUGCUUAACUUGAAUCAACUUGAGGUGGAUGGAAUAUUACAUGUAGCGGUGAAAUGCUUAGAUAUGUAAUAGAACACCGAUUGCGAAGGCAGUUCACUAAGGUUGUAUUGACACUGAGGCACGAAAGCGUGGGGAUCAAAC